rnacentral:rRNA from 1 species
AGAGUUUGAUCCUGGCUCAGAAUGAACGCUGGCGGCAUGGCUAAGACAUGCAAGUCGAACGGACUAUUUUGAAGAGUAAUCGGAUUUAUAGUUAGUGGCGAAAGGGUGAGGAAUGGAUAGGUAACGUACCUCGGGCUCCGGAAUAGCUCAUCGAAAGGUGGGGUAAUGCCGGAUAAUGUCAUCUGUUUAAUUCAGGUGACCAAAGAUUUAUCGGCCCAUGAGCGGCCUAUUCCCUAUCAGCUUGUUGGUGAGGUAACGGCUCACCAAGGCGACGACGGGCAGCGGGACUGAGAGGUUGGCCCGCCACAUCGGGACUGAGACACUGCCCGGACCUCCACGGAGGGCUGCAGUAACGAAUAUUGGGCAAUGGGCGAAAGCCUGACCCAGCAAUGCCGCGUGUAGGAUGAAGCCUUUCGGGGUGUAAACUACUUUCAGGGAUUAGAAAGCUACGGUUGAUCAAUCCCAGAAGAAGUCACGGCUAACUUCGUGCCAGCAGCCGCGGUAAGACGAAGGUGGCAAGCGUUAUUCGAAAUCACUGGGCUUAAAGGGUGCGUAAGCGGAACUGUAAGUGUCUUGUGAAAUCCCUCGGCUUAACCGAGGAAUGGCUCGGCAAACUGCAGUUCUUGAGGCAAGUAGGGGUGUGUGGAACUCUUGGUGGAGCGGUGGAAUGCGUAGAUAUCAAGAGGAACGCCGAAGGUGAAGACAGCGCACUGGACUUGUACUGACGCUGAGGCACGAAAGCGUGGGGAGCAAACAGGAUUAGAUACCCUGGUAGUCCACGCCGUAAACGAUGUGCACUAGGUCGCGGAGGUUCUGACACCGUCGCGGUCGUAGCAAAAGUGUUAAGUGCACCGCCUGGGGAGUACGGUCGCAAGGCUAAAACUCAAAGGAAUUGACGGGGGCUCACACAAGCGGUGGAGCAUGUGGAUUAAUUCGAAGCAACGCGCAGAACCUUACCUGGGUUUGACAUGUAUGGAUGCCUAUCGGGAAACCGAGUCGGCUGCCUUCGGGUGAAACUUACACAGGUGCUGCAUGGCUGUCGUCAGCUCGUGUCGUGAGAUGUCGGGUUAAGUCCUUUAACGAGCGAAACCCUUACCGUUAGUUGCCAGCGCGUCAUGGCGGGGACUCUAGCGGGACUGCCGGUGUUAAACCGGAGGAAGGCGGGGAUGACGUCAAGUCCUCAUGGCCUUUAUGCCCAGGGCUUCACACGUGCUACAAUGGCAGGUACAAAGCGACGCGAUACCGCGAGGUGGAGCAAAUCGCAAAAAACCUGCCCCAGUUCAGAUUGCAGGCUGGCAACUCGCCUGCAUGAAGGUGGAAUCGCUAGUAAUCGCGUACCAGCGAUGACGCGGUGAAUGUGUUCCUGAGCCUUGUACACACCGCCCGUCAAGUCACGGAAGUUGGGAGUACCCGAAGUCGGAUUAUCAACCUUUUAGGAGAUGUCUGCCGACGGUAAGCUUGAUGACUGGGACUAAGUCGUAACAAGGUA